GGGGAUUUAGCUCAGUGGCAUAAGCACCUGCCUUGUAAGCAGGCAGUUGUGAGUUUGAUCCCUG
rnacentral:tRNA from 1 species